GACGAACGCUGGCGGCGUGCCUAAUACAUGCAAGUAGAACGCUGAAGAGAGGAGCUUGCUCUUCUUGGGUGAGUUGCGAACGGGUGAGUAACGCGUAGGUAACCUGCCUUGUAGCGGGGGAUAACUAUUGGAAACGAUAGCUAAUACCGCAUAACAAUGGAUGACACAUGUCAUUUAUUUGAAAGGGGCAAUUGCUCCACUACAAGAUGGACCUGCGUUGUAUUAGCUAGUAGGUGAGGUAAUGGCUCACCUAGGCGACGAUACAUAGCCGACCUGAGAGGGUGAUCGGCCACACUGGGACUGAGACACGGCCCAGACUCCUACGGGAGGCAGCAGUAGGGAAUCUUCGGCAAUGGGGGCAACCCUGACCGAGCAACGCCGCGUGAGUGAAGAAGGGUGUCGGAUCGUAAAGCUCUGUUGUAAGUCAAGAACGGGUGUGAGAGUGGAAAGUUCACACUGUGACGGUAGCUUACCAGAAAGGGACGGCUAACUACGUG
rnacentral:rRNA from 1 species